CAUUAACUAAGCUCUUGCGGGUUGGUUCUGAUAUUUUCUCUCGGUUUGUUGUCUCAUCCACUUGUCCAAUUAACCUUUUAGAAGCAGAUGUUCUGUCUCGUCUUCAAGCUUCUAUCUCCUUUACUGCUGAUGGCCAGGUUCAAUUACUAACCCCCCUUUCUCGCAAAGAUACUUCCGUCAUUUGCUCUCUGCCCCUACUACUACAUAUGACAUCCCCCACCGAGGAGGUAAGG